GGCUCAUAUCAGAUUUAGUUUAUUUUAUAGCUACUCAUAUUGCAUUUCAUUCGAUAAACACUAGUGGUCCUUUACCUCGUGGUGGCGAUGCUGUUUCCUUUGAACCAAAAAGCAACCAAAGAAGAAGCAACACGCGGGAACAGUCGUUUCUCAGCAGCGAGCAACGUGUUCAUCUCUCUCUUCAGGAGUUAUUAAAACAACGGAGAUACAGUCAGUAUAAUGGAGCUACUGGUUAAAACACCGACGAAAAGAAGAUGCCGAUUAAGGCGAUUUAAUCGGGGAGGCGAUUUGGCAGGGAAGAAGAAAAACAGUGAAGGUCAUUUAAGUGAGAAGCAGGAUUUUGAAAGGUGGGAUAUUUGAGUGUCUGUGGAGGCCUCUGAGAAGAGUCUGGAGACUCCUGCGCUGCCGUGGACCUGGUGUGUAUCUGAAAGAUUUACAGCAUAUCAGUAGGAAUCACUUGAACUCAUUAACUAAUAUUAUAAAGCAUAAUCAUUCGUGAAUAGAAAAUGGGAAAUUAUAUGAAAUAUAAAUGUCAUUUAGAACAAAGUGUUACGUUAUUCUUUAUAAACAGUGGCAAAAAUAAUGUCUCUGUCUUUAUCAGAAAUAAAACUUUCAGUGGAAGAAACCUCA
ensembl:lncRNA